GAAUAGAUUCCACCCCUAUUCAAAGGACAAGAAUGCAGGCACUGGAGAGAAGAAGACUGUUAAUCGUAAUAGAGUUUUUAUUAGCAACAUCCCGUAUGACAUGAAAUGGCAAGCUAUUAAAGAUCUUAUGAGAGAGAAAGUUGGUGAGGUUACAUACGUGGAGCUGUUUAAGGAUGCUGAAGGAAAAUCAAGGGGUUGCGGUGUGGUUGAAUUCAAAGAUGAAGAAUUUGUUAAGAAAGCAUUAGAAACUAUGAACAAAUAUGAUCUUAGUGGAAGACCCCUGAAUAUUAAAGAGGAUCCCGAAGGUGAACAUGCUCGUAGGGCGCUACAGCGUGUAGGAGGACAGUUUCCAGGAGGACAUGGACCUGAUGUGGCACCUGGAAUAAUGAAUUUACCACCUUCUAUCCUCAAUAAUCCAAACAUUCCUCCUGAGGUUAUCAGUAACUUGCAGGCAGGCAGGCUUGGGUCCACUAUUUUUGUUGCUAAUCUUGACUUUAAAGUUGGCUGGAAGAAACUGAAGGAGGUAUUCAGCAUUGCUGGAACCGUAAAGCGUGCAGACAUCAAAGAAGAUAAAGACGGCAAGAGUCGAGGAAUGGGAACAGUUACCUUUGAACAAGCAAUUGAAGCUGUUCAAGCAAUAUCUAUGUUCAAUGGACAAUUCCUGUUCGAUAGACCCAUGCAUGUAAAAAUGGAUGACAAAUCAGUUCCUCAUGAAGAUUUCCGUGUUGCAGACAGCAAAACUUCACAAUUACCUCGUGGUCUUGGUGGCAUUGGUAUGGGACUUGGACCAGGUGGACAGCCCAUCAGUGCAACACAGUUGAGCAUGGGUGGUGGAAUGGGGAGCAUGGGUCCAGGAGGUAUGGGAAUAGAUGGUCCAGGAUUUGGCGGAAUGAAUAGAAUGGGAGGCGGACUUGCUGGAUUUCGUGGAAUGGAAGGAAUGCCUAAUAUGGGAGGAUUUGGAGUCAACCGAAUGGGAGAAAUGUUCCGUGGUGGAAUGGGAGGAAACAUGGACAGAGAUUUUGGUCGUAGUGACAUGGCAUUGAACCGUGGCUUUGGAGAUUCAUUUGGAAGGAUGGGUGGUGCAAUGAUUGGUGUUUUUGCAGGAGGAAUGGGGGCGCCUAGCAUGGGCCCAGUAAGAUCUGGAAUGAGUGGUGGAAUGGGUGGUAUGAACAGUAUGGCUGGAGGAAUAGGAAUGGGGAUGGAUCGGAUGAGUUCUGGUUUUGAUCGAAUGGGACCAGCUAUGGGUGGAGGACUGGACAGGAACAUCGAUAUCGAUCGAGGAUUUGUGCCUGGCCCAAUGGGAAGUGGCAUGAGAGAGAGAUUAGGCUCUAAAGGCAACCAGAUAUUUGUGAGAAAUCUUCCUUUUGACUUGACCUGGCAGAAGCUAAAGGAGAAAUUCAGUCAAUGUGGUCAUGUAAUGUUUGCAGAAAUAAAAAUGGAGAAUGGAAAAUCAAAGGGCUGUGGAACAGUCAGAUUUGACUCACCAGAAUCUGCUGAAAAGGCCUGUAGGAUAAUGAACGGCAUAAAAAUCAGUGGCAGAGAAAUUGAUGUACGCUUGGAUCGCAAUGCAUAAUUUAAAACUGUGUGUUCAGGAACAUUCCUAUGUCUGUUUAGCUUCUCUAUCCUAUACCUUUUAAACACAUCCAUUGGAAUGAGCCUGAAUACUAAAAUCUUUACCUUUUCGAGCCACCAGCACACUUGCAACUGUAUCUGGUACACUUGUUCCUGCUGCUAGUAAUGUGAGACCCAUUACUGACUCUGGAAUCCCCAGUGUUUCACCUGCAGUUGAUAAAUAAUGGUAGAAAAUGCAAGUAUGGGUUUUUUUAGUUCAAAUUUCAUCCAAAGAAAUUGCUUUGGACUUUGUUUGCUGGAGAAAGGAUUAGUAAUCAUACAGUAACUUCAAAAGGAAUCUAUCUGCUAACUUGACUAAAUAUGAAGUGACUGAACCAUGAAGUAGUUAAGAACAGCAAAGAAAUAUCAUCCUGUCCUUGAUCUUCAAUCAAAUAAAAAAGAAAUUGUAGUAUAGUAACCAUCUUAAGUUUCUUGAAGACCUGAGUGACCACCUCAGGUGGUCAAGACAAUACCAACUAUUAAUUAUUUUCUUUCAGAUACAGUAGAAGUUUAAGUAUCUAACAACUUACUACUUUUUUUUUUCCCUUCAAUUUCUGGAAAAUAUAGUAGUCUUCUAUGUUUUUGAGCAUUUCAUUAGUGCUCAAAAGUCUCAUGAAGCAAUAAUUUAUAAUCACCCACUCUUUAAAGGGGGAGUAAAAACAUGAGUUUUCUUGGGGAGGAGAGUCAUUAAGAUCAUUACUACAAUACUGUCUCAACUACAUGGCUUUACCAUUUCACUCCAGUUAGGAAGUUCUUUUGUUGGAUUCUGAAGAAUCAAAAUGCAGAACUUUUAUAUGACUUCUAAGUAGGUGCAAGUAAUCCUUUAGAAAUGUGAGUUUCUUCAGGCAAAUACUGGUUUAAAUUAAGAAAAGUUUGGAAUUGUUAUUAAAACAGCAGCUUAUUUUUCCGCACUCUUUGUUUUUUUUUUUUUUUUUAGCCCCGCAUGUCCUGUAAGCAUAUUGAUUUCUCACUGAAAAUCCAGGGAUUCAGGUCUUCAAAACUGUUUUGGCAGUUGUACCAUUCACAAGCAUCAAUAUGCUGAAGUAUUUGAUACCUCUAUUCAAACUAUUAAGUAAUAAAGUUUUUCUUAAACUUUUGUUCACUAAAAAGUAUCUUAAUUUUUUUUUGUUGAAAUCUGAAUUCUUACUUGCAAUAUUUAGACACUAAUAAGAACAGUUUUCUUAAAGUAAGAGGCAGUACUCUCUAAGCUAGGUCAGCAGUGCUUGCCUAGUACAUACCAGCUUAGUCUACAUCAGCCCAGUAAAUUUAUGUUUGAAAGUAUUGUUGGUUCAGAGGGACUAACAUGAUCCUGUUGCAGAAUUUGUAUUUACCAUCACUCCUAAUGUAAGAGAUUUGUAGGAUGAGGGACCAAUGAGAUCAGCUUUUAUAAACCAUCCAGGCUGGAAAAUAACAUUUCAUGCCAAGCAAACCAAGGUGAAAUAUGAAUGAAUCAGCCUUAUGUACCCAACAGUAGUUUCUAGCCCUCUGAAGGUUGUAAGAUAGAAUCGAAACUCAGGUGAAUCUAAUUUUUAUUAGCUAGAUUUAUCUUCUAUUUAAUAUGUAGGGCUUUUUUCUGGCAACUGACCAUAAAGAGAGAAUGGUCUUAUUUUUCUAGCCUUUAGUUAAUUUUGUGUAUCAGUAGCAAUAUCUUGCUAUAAGUAGUCAAAUUUUCUUUUGCUUUGUUCUUGACCAUUAAAAUUUAGUCCCCAGCUGUGAUACCUUUGUGAUGUUCUGAUAGGCUAUUUAUGCAACAGAUAGAAUCUUUGAGUCACCCUUCAUGAAAGAACCUGGACUUGAGUAUAAUGUGUGUGUAAUUUUUAGCAUUUUAACAUGUAAAUAGAACAUAUUUGACCUAGAGGUAGUGGGCUAAAGACCCAAACACUGCCUGUGAUGACUCUUCAAACUGGACUAACACUAAUACACUGUUUGAAUCUCCAGUGUACCUGCUUUCAUAUGAAUUAGUGCUUUGUCUAGUAGAACAGCAAUAACUUUCAUUUGAAUCCUGUUUCAAAGGCGUCUAGCAUUCAGACGGUAAACCCUUGCUCUUUAGAUACAAGUGGAAAAUUAUUUGACCAAGGAGUGAACCUGGUGAGUGUUACAUUCAGUGAUCUACUAAUAAUUUCUCCAAGGUUUACCAAAUAUGUAGGUCUGUUUCUGCAUCGAACAAGGAGUUAUUCAUUGAACUUAAGUUGAAAACAAGUUUAGGAUGCUGAACUAGCAGAGUAGUUGAGUAGGAUUAGCGAGCUAUAAUGUAGAAAUGGCAAGCUUUGUAAUGUUUCUUUCUUGUUUAGAGAUUUAUUUUCUGCUUGUUCUUGAAAUUAAAAACUGGAUUUUUCUCUGCUGUCUGGAGGAACAGUGAAAUGAGGAGACCUUUAAUACCUUAAGAUAUUUUUAAGAGAAUGUUUUUAUACACAAGUUCAUACCCCUUCUUUCACUUAAAUGCAAUUCUUUUACUUUAUGAUGCAGAUUUGUAAGAGGUAUACAGACACCAAGAAUGUUUAAUAAAUACACGAAGCUAUAGUUGAGAUAAAAUAGUACAAAAAUUUGGGAGGUGUUUUAGGCAGUUAAUUUAAUGCCAAAUCUCUCGCUAUAGUGUUCAAAAUAUGUAAGUAUAGAAAUAAUAGAUCAUUUACAGAACCCUGAACCUUUAUGUCCAGUCUUGGUGGAUUCCAUGUUUGUCAGACUUCACAGGUUUAUUGCUGUGUAUCUAAUUGUUUCACUUAAUGAAGCAAUUUAGUGGAACUGUCUCUUUUUAAAUAUAGGAUAUUUUUUGUAGCUAUGUAAACAAAUUCUCAUUCGUGUUAUGGUAAGCAGUCUGAAGCAGCUAAACUGUAAAGUGGUUUUCAUUAGAUGGAAGAAGGUGGAAAACGGAAAACUAAGCAGUCAAACAUAAGUUUUGGUUGGUUUUGUUUGGGUUUUUUUUUCUACAGCAAAGUAUGUGUUGCUAAACUGACUGUUAAUUGUGGAAAGGAAAACUCUUCACAGGGAGAAACUUUUUUCAGUGAU